UACGGAGGGUGCAAGCGUUAUCCGGAUUCACUGGGUUUAAAGGGUGCGUAGGCGGGCAGGUAAGUCAGUGGUGAAAUCUCCGAGCUUAACUCGGAAACUGCCAUUGAUACUAUCAAUCUUGAAUACCUUGGAGGUGAGCGGAAUAUGUCAUGUAGCGGUGAAAUGCUUAGAUAUGACAUAGAACACCAAUUGCGAAGGCAGCUCACUACACGGUCAUUGACACUGAGGCACGAAAGCGUGGGGAUCAAACAGG
rnacentral:rRNA from 1 species